rnacentral:rRNA from 1 species
AUUGAACGCUGGCGGCAGGCCUAACACAUGCAAGUCGAACGAGUGGCGGACGGGUGAGUAAUGUCUGGGAAACUGCCCGAUGGAGGGGGGUAACUACUGGAAACGGUAGCUAAUACCGCAUACCAUCGGAUGUGCCCAGAUGGGAUUAGCUAGUGGGUGGGGUAACGGCUCACCUAGGCGACGAUCCCUAGCUGGUCUGAGAGGAUGACCAGCCACACUGGAACGAAGACACGUGCCAGACUCCUACGGGAGGCAGCAGUGGGGAAGAUUGCAAAAUGGGCGCAAGCCUGAUGCAGCCAGACGGCGUUUAUGAAGAAGGCCUUCGGGUUGUAAAGUACUUUCAGCGAGGAGGCGUUACUCGCAGAAGAAGCACCGGCUAACUCCGUGCCAGCCGCCGCGGUAAUAC